rnacentral:lncRNA from 1 species
AACCUACAUAUAGUAUAAAACAAAUUUACAGCCAUUUAAAUCAACCAAUUAUAUAGCAUUAAAAUAAUCCUAAUUAUUGAUAUAAUUCAAAUAAUACGAACACAAUCUCACUCUGUAAAUGCAAGUAGUAGAAUAUUACAACAUCACAUACAACAAUUACCUCACAUUAGCAAGUAGCAUGACAUAAACUAUAUCCAAAAUACAUAACUAAUGACUAAAGAUGUCCGUGGACCGGGUCGGGUCUGGGUAAUUAAUAUACUGUAUCCAUACCCUAAAAAGAAAUGGUUAUAAAAAAAUAUAUAUACCUUACCCAUUUAACUUCGGGUCGGGUCCGGGUCUGGAUACUAAAGUUUCUAAUGUACCCAUCGGGUCUAUUUAAGCGGGUCUGGGUAGUGACUACCCGUAUAAUACCCGUUCAAAAUCGGAUAUGGAUCGGGUCCAAAUCGGGUACGGAUAUCCGUAUAAAUAUAUUUUUUUAUAAACUUUAUUAAAUAGUCAAUAAACAAACUAUAUUGUUGACAAUAAAAUAUUGUUGACGGAAAUGAAAUGAAAAAAAAGAGUAGAAAACAAAGAGUAAAAAAAUUAGAAAAAAGUAAUGAGUAAAAGAGACGGCUAGGAUUUCAUUAGGAUAAAAAUACAUAGUGACUCAUCAUCUAUAAGUCAUAUUAAAAUUGAUCCUUCAACUUUAAAAGUUUUUUUUUUUUUUUUACUAUCGGAUAUUUCAUCGGGUCCGGGUCCGGGUCCGGGUCCGGAUUUGAAAACUAUUCCGGACCCUACCCAUUUAAAAGUUAGGUUCGGAUCGGGUCCAAAUCGGGUAUGGGUAUAAAAUAUCCGAACCUAUACCCAAAAUUUUAAUGGGUAAUUUUUUUUAUCCGUAUACUAUUCAUUUUUUAUCGGGUCCGGUUCGGGUCCGGUUUGGGUCCGGGUAGGGUCCGGAUCGGGUAUGGGAUAUCGGAUAUUUUGGACACCUUUGCUAAUGACAGUAUGAACAAGUAACAUAAACACAAACAAUUAGCAUCUAUUAUUCCAUAAUUGCUCUGUUAUAGUUCUACGUAAACUGUCACCGCGUCUUGAUUCAUCUGCGCCGGCAAUAUUUGGCGGAUCCUCGUCGUCAUCGCCAGUUGGAAGUUGUUCUAUCUCUUCAUUAAAGUACAUAUCAUUUCCUUGUUAUCUUCAAAUAAAAUUGUGUACUACACAACAUGCCAUAGCAAUCAUGCACUGUACUUUAUACGGAAAUGGUGUUGCAUGAUUUAGAAUCUUAAAUCUCUUUUUUAAUAUACCGAAUGUUUUCUCGACGAUAUUUCUCAGCUGCGCAUGUCGAUAGUUAUAGAGAUCUUUGAGGUUGCGAUGCGUGCGAGCCCUUGUUGUAGUGUCAAAUUGACUUAAAUGAUACCGUUCACCUCUGUAGGGAGCAAGAAAUCUGUUUGUGUUUGCGUACCCCGAAUCAACCAGAUAAAAUUUACCUACGAAUAUUAAUAUAGAUGUAACACAAUAUCCAUUAAAAUGACAAAAGUGUUAUACAUACUAUAAAAAAGACUAUUUGGAAAGUUACCAUCCGGAACUGUAAAACCUCCUGUGUCGCAAGCCCACCGAAGUACACGCAUAUCAGCUGCUGAUCCUUCCCAACCUGUGCAUACAAAGAAAAAUAUAUGGUCAAAUGAGACUGUGGCUAUCAUAUUUUGGGAUGUGAACCCUUUGCGACAUCGGAAUCGUGGUUGGUCGCUCCUCGGAACAAUCACUGGAAUAUGUGUGCCGUCUAUCGCGCCAAUUGCAUUCUACAAGAUAACAUGCAGCAAAUAUAUUAAUCCACAAUUAAAAAUCAAAGGAAAUAUAUAUUGCAUGUAAUCGUAGAAAUCAACCUUGAAAGGAUAAAAAUUGAGAUUAUCUCGAAUUCUUGGAUGCACCAUUGCAUUACUUGGCGGCAACGUUAAGUAUUCAUCUUUCAACAUUAUAAUAGCCCGCAAUACAUUGUUGAAAUGUCUGCUGAUUGUUUCCCCUGAAUGUUGGAAUGUUUCAGCAAGCACUCUAUUAGCCACACCAUGACCUACGCCAAAUAAAAAUAUUGCUAGUUGUUCAUCAACAGUCAUGUAUCGUGUUCCUCUUAUCAGCCCCCGAGCAACUAGCACAUCGCGGAGUGCAACGAAAGUAGUAGUCGUCAUGCGAAAAUGAUCGUACCCUCUGUCCGGAUGACCAUUCAAAAUAUCACAAAUCAUUUGGUGGCCGGUAAAAGGUCGAGUACGAUACUAACGUUUGUGUAAGGAAUUAGAAAACGUCCGAAAGUCUUGACCAAAUAGUAUGACAUAUACUUGGUCCAAGUAGUCAUCAUCGUCAUCUAAAAUUAACAUAAUAUUUGCUAAGGUCAUCGACGAAAAAAUAGAACGAUACAAGGGCGCACCCAUGAGUGCCGCAAUGAUAAAAUCAUGCAUUAUACCACAAGCAGUACACAUCAUAUUUUUUUCAACAUUCAACAUAACGCACCUUUAAGUCGAAACAUUGAACACAAGCAAACUAACAUGUAAGCAAACAUAGUACAUAAUUAUACAUAAAGCUAAACAACAAACAACUAAUUUAACAUACAAGUCUAAAACGCAAAUGCUUCAAGCAUCACAUAUUACUCUAUUCUACAAACACCAACACACAAUAACAAAACAAUCUAGAAACCAGGAAAGUUUUUUUUAUACAAGACGUCUUGGACCUCGCACUGCCGCUCUAUUCAUCUUGCUACUAUGCGAUCAUUCAUAGUCAUAAAAAGGCGUCUUUGUGGCUCAUUCAGCAAUGCUUCCCCUGCUACUAUGACCUGCUCAUCUGUAAUUCCAGGCAUAUUAUAAACCCUAUUCAUACACUUUUCAAUUGAAGGAAUAUUAGAAAGUUUGGUUUGAUCUUUUUGGUACAUUUCUCUAACAAGGUUCAGCUUUUGUUUUCCAAUAUCUACCAAUUCCGAUAUUGCUUCGCCGGUUAUGUCAAUUUUCUUUUUGCGGCCAGCGGAAGCAGAUGGUUAUUUCUUUGGAGGGAGUGAGGGCUCUGGAGACCGAGCUCUUUUACCCGCAGAGCUAUGUCCAGAUCCACUGGCACUCCCUCUUAUAUUUGGUUGCACUAGGGGAGGGCUAGGAGAACGUGAAGUAUUACUGCUUGGUACACAUGCAAGGGUGAGCGUGAGGACCUUGGUUCAAAGAGACCGGGUAAGAAAUUAUUUGCAAGCUUGCUAACACCUGCGACGGUAUCGUCCUCAACAGGAGAAGAUGAGGAUGAGCUAUCAAUUGUUGCUGUGGGCAUUUGCGAGGACAUUCCAAAUUGUCCUGUGGCAGUAGUUGUUCCGGAAAGAAAUGCAAUAUCAUUAUAUGCCGGAAAAGGUUUGUCCCUAAACUUCGCCAAAGCCGGAUUGUCCUGAACAAAGAUACAUAACAUUAUACAUGUUUCAUAUGUAGGUGUAAUUUGAAAUUGCAAUCAAUGUAAUAAACCUUUACCGCUAUGACUGCGUCCCAAUCACUACGAUCACCGGGCGUGGGUAUAUUAUUCACAUGGUCCCAACCCCAACCGCUCUUAGUUGCCAAAUUCUUGUAGGUCGUACACAAUCUCUUCAAAACCUUCAAGCGAUUCUUAAUUUGAUUCUUCAUCAGGUUUUGAUUUGUUUUAUAGUUGAAACAAAAAAUAAUUCUAACCCAGGCUAUUUGCGUGAAACUACCAUUAACGUUGUUUCCUAAUCCAUGCUCCUCCAUCAUGAUACUCAACAAAGUAGAAUCCAAAUGAUCAGUCCAGUUCGCAGUGCGUGUAUAUAUUUGGUUGCGCCCUCUGCUGCUACCACCUAUGUCUCCACUAUGAAUUGGAUUAUUGUCCAAUCCCAUACCUUAGUUUACAAAGGACUUAGAAGAGGGUCUCUUGCCUGGACUUAUCUAUACUUAUACAUAUUAUGACAAUUUACUUGUGAAUCAAAUGCAAAGACGACACCAUAAAUUUAUUAUGAGAUAGAAUUAUUUAAAUCAUGCAAGUCGGCAAGUACACAUGGCAAAUAGGGAAGGAAGUUACAAUUAUUGUGCAAUGUGCAAACAUAAUACAUCAUAGUAAUUUAUAUGCCGAAAAUACUGAACAAUAACACUUGACAUAUAAUUAAACACCAUAUACAUUGCAAGGAAGGGUUUGCCGUUGAAAUAUAUAUUGUGUGCACUGAAAUUUACAUCCAUACCAACCAUCAAUUGCUUAUUCCUGAUGGAUUGGUGGCUCAUUUGGCUUCCAAAUAAGUAUGGAGUUGUAUGAAUUGUUACAUCUAUACCAUCCAUCGAAUACAGAUGGAAACCAUCAUCAUCGCCUUAAUUGCCGACGUACUAAGCUCAAGUACUUUCUCUGGGCAGCCACAGUGCACAGGAUGCCCACUAUAAUAUACAAUGCAUAAAGUAUCGAUCAAGCAUAAAAGAACACAAAUAACCUGAAGCAACUAUCUAACAAUCAAUCAUUCUACAUAAUCAAGCAUAGAGAAGUCGAGCAUUCACUGAGGCGAGGAUUAUUUCAUGCCAUAUUCAACUACAAACUAUGCCAAUUUGCGCCGAAAUCUUUUUCCGUACCAAUCAUCAAAUGGUGAUAGAUUGGUGGCUCAUUUGGCUUCCAAAAUGUAUAGGGUUGCAUGGAUUUUUACAUCCAUACCAUCAAUCGAAUACAUUCAAUGGAAACCGGCAUCAUCGCCAAUUUUCACUGCCCGUGCAAUUAACCAAAAAAUGAGUAUCACAGGGCUGGCACAGGGCACAAGGUAUAGUAUACACAUUCAGCACACACAGUAUAGAUCAACCAUAGAGAACCACAGGAAACCAUAGAGGAAGCACAACCCAGCACAAAGAGGCACACCACCAAUUUCGAGCAAUCACAAACACGAAGAUAAACUGCGGCCAUUUACAUUGCGUACCUUGCCUUCAACAGAGGAAGCAGAGAGAAGAACAGAGAAGGAGAUCAAGCAUAGAGAAGUGGAGCACCCAAACCCUCAGAUGUGGCCAACGGCUGCGGCAACAUGAUGGCGGCGUCGACCAAGUCACUGAUUGCACAAAAGGACGUGGCAGCGACUAAAGUAGAGAUCACACAGAGGAAGGCAACGGUGCCGAAAGCACAGAUCGCACAGAGGAAGGCGGCGGCGCCCAAAGAACAGAUCGCACAGAGGAAGGAGGCGGCGCCGCAAGCACAGAUCGCACAGAGGAAGGCGGCGACGCCCAAAGAACAGAUUGCACAGAGGAAGGCGGUGGCGGCCAAGGCACAGAUCGCACAGAGGAAAGCGGCGGCGCCGAAGGCACAGAUUGCACAGAGGAAAGCGGCGGCGCCGAAGGCACAGAUCGCACAAAGGUAGGCGGCGGCCAAGGCAUAGAUCGCACAGAGAAAAGCGGCGGCGCCGAAGGCAUAAAUCGCACAGAGGUAGGCGGCGGCCCAAAGCACAGAUCGCACACAGGAAGGCGUCAGCCACCAAUGCAGAGAUAGCACAGAGGAAGGCUGCGGCGCCCAAAGCAAAGAUCGCACAGAGGAAGGCGGCGGCGCCCAAAGCACAGAUUGUACAGAGGAGGGCGGCGGCGACGAAGGCUUUGAUCGCACAGAGAAAGGCGGCGGCGACGAAGCAUAGAUCGCACAGAGGAAGGCAAAGGCGAUAGCAGUGAUCGCACCGAGGAAGGGCCUUAUCCCGGUGUUUGGAUAUAGUACAAGAUCUAGGCUACGAAGAGAGGAAUAAGGGCUCGCGGGUUCCUUUGAUGGAGAAGAAGGCGAAGAGAGGCUACCCUGGCCGCGGGGGUCCUCAGAUCGGAGGGUUUCCAGUGACGGCGACGCCGGCGAAGCCGAGAUCUAACAAGGGCAAGGGGAUUCCAAAGAUGGAGCACCCUCAGAUCUACGGUUUGCAGCGACGGCGAAGAUGGCGAAGAGACGAAGGAGGGUGUAGGGGUUCCAUAGAUGGAGAAGAAGGCCACGAAGGAGAAGCGAGCGGGGUUAGGGCUUAUAGAGAUGGAGAAAAAGGCGAUGACGGGAGAGAGAAAGGAGGUAUUUUUCAGAGAUGCCCCCGGUACAAGCUUGGGGAUUGGCUUGUUCCAACCCAGGGGUGGGAACAGCAGUUCCCACCCUUAAGGGUGGGAACUGCUGUUCCCUCCCCUAACACACCUUGUUUGGGUACAAGAUAGGGGAUAAGCCUCGGGUGGGAACUGCUGUUCCCACCCCUAACACACCUUGUUUGGCUACAAGAUAGGGGAUAAGCCUCUUAUCCCCUAUCUUGUACCACAUCCAAACAGGGUGUUAGGGUCUAGUCAACCUUUUGCUCUAGCACAUAUACCUAGAGUGGGUAUUGGCUCAUGAGAUUUGGUUCAUGGAUAUGGUUCAUGAGAUUAAUAGGAAGGAAGGAGUUAGUUAAGAAUUCAAAAUUCGAAAUCCAAUUUUGAAUUAUUUGUUGGAUGGUUGGAGGAUUUUUUGGGAGUUGGUUAGGAUUUGAAAUUCGAAAUUCGAAAUCGAAUUUUAAAUGGAUUGUUGGAUGGUUGAAGGGUAUUUUGGGAAUUGAUUCAAAAUUCGAAAUCGAAUUUUGAAUGGGUUGUUGGAUAGUUGGAGAAUAUUUUGGGAAUUGGUUAGGGAUUCAAAAUUCGAUUUCGAAUUUUGAAUUGGUAAUUAAAUGAUUGGAGUUGGUUGGGAAUUCGAAAUUCGAAAUUGAAUUUUGAAUAGGUUGUUGGACGGUUGGAGGAUUUUUGGAAAUUGGUUAGGGAUUUGAAAUUUGAAAUCGAAUUUUGAAUCGGUUGUUGGAUGAUUGGAAGAUAUUUUGAGAAUUGGUUGAAAAUUUAAAAUUCGAAAUCGAAUUUUGAAUGGGUUGUUGGAUGAUUGGAGAGUAUUUUGAAAAUUGGUUGGGAAUUUGAAAUUCGAAAUCGAAUUUUGAAUGGGUUGUUGGAUGGUUAGGUAUUCAAAAUUCGAAUGAGAGAUAUUUUGGGUGUUGGUUCGAAAUUCGAAAUCAAAUUUCGAAUAGAAUUUGAAUAUGGUAUUCGAGAUUGAAUUUUUAAAUGUGGGUGAAAAUGUGGACCGUUAUUUUAUGAAUUGGGCUAAAAUUGGGCCUACUUUGAUGAAACUUGUUGGGCAUGAAUAUUCAUUGGGCUGAGAUGAGGCCCGAAUUUUUAUAUAGGCAUAAAAUCUUAAAGGGCUUUCAUGAGGCCCAUUAAUUCACAUUUAUGAAUAGACCUAUUGUGGAUUAAAAUCAUAAUUAUUUGCCCCAAGAUUUCUCGGUCAACAUGAGACCUAUUGAGAUUGUAUGAAUAUGAAUUUAAUCGGUUUUAAUUACUUUACCCAAAUUUUUUUUCACCUCAAACGUACAUAUAUAUAUACACACACACACAUACAAACACACACACACACACACACACACACAAACACACACACAUAUAUAUAUAUAUAUAUAAUUAUGCUACUAUACUAUCAAUAGUACCAAGCCUUUGGUACUAUUGAGUUUUCGGCCGUUGAAUGAAAGGAUGUGCGGUUAGAAUAAUAGUGGUCCCCGGUUAAAUUGAUAGUGGUCCCCCUAGGGUUGAGUGGAUGGUUGGUUUAAUAGUAUAAUUUAACGGAUGAAAAUAAUCAAAGGGUAGAUCUAACGGUAGAAAACUCAAUAGUACCAAGGGCUUGGUACUAUCGACAGUAUAGUAGCCGGACUCAUAUAUAUAUAUAUAUACUAGUUAUAGUGCACGUGCGAUGCACGUAACAUUUAAUUAAAUUAAAUUUAUAUUUAUAUUUUAAAUUUAAAUAAUUAUUGGUGGUAUAAAUUUAUUUAUUAAUUAAUUUUUUUCUAACUUUAAUUUGUUUAAUGUGUAUCCAAAUUUUAAAAAUUUGAAGUAAUUCAAAAUUUUAAAUUAAUAAAUUCAGAUUUAAAUUUAUGAAAAAAACUCAAAAUUUUAAAUUAAUUUUGAAUCCAUAAUUUGAAUAUAAAUAGUUAUUAGAAGCAUUGAUUUAUUUAUCAUCCCAUCUAUUUUCAAAUUUGACAUAUUUUCAACUUAAUUAAUUAUUUUCGAUUUGAAAUACUAUUUAUACACUCAAAUAUUAAAUUUUAAUUAAUUUCAAAUUUUUAAUUAAAAUAUUAAUUCAUAUUUAAAAUUAUGAACCAAAUUUAAAAUUUAAAAUUGAUUUGAUAUGCUUAUUUAAAUCAUUCUAUUUUUCAAAACUAAUUUCUUCUUAGUUAGUUAAUUAAGAGAUAGUGAAUAUUAAAUAUUUUCAGUGUGUCUUGUGUAGAGAUUUUCGUUUUUUGAUGAGUAUAGAAAUUCUUUUAUGGGGCGUUUGUGAAAAAUAUUUUACGGCAGAUAUUCUUUGGUUGACAGAAUUUUUUCUGUUCUCGUAAAUGGAAUGCAAUAUUUUUUUCUACUAAAAAAAGCCUGUCAACAACUAUUUUAAUAAUUAUCUCAAACCAAUAUAAAUUUGUGAAUCACAUUUAUUUACAAAUUUAAAUUUUUAAAUUGUAAAUUCAUAUGUUAUAUUUUAUUGAAAAUAUCUCAUAUUUUAAAUAUUAGUAGAUAAAAAUGUGAUAAUUUUUAUAUAUUCACCUUUAAAAAAAUAUGAUUAAAUAUUAUAUAUACAGAAGGUAUUACGUGAUUGGAUAUUAUGUAGGUGGGUAUUACAUGUGAAAAAAAAUAUUUAAGAAAUAUGUAAAUUGUGAAUAUUAUUUGUGAUAAAAUAUGAUAUUAUGUGGGCGGCGGUUAUUAGGAGAUAGAGUACGCAUAUAAAAAGUGAAAUUUGAUAUGCAUUAUUUGAGGGUAAUUUAGAUAGAAAAAGUGACAGAUACUUAAUUCGUCAGUCAUUGGAUUAGAUCCAAUAACUAAGAAUUAAUAUAUUUUAUAAUAAUUCAAAAAUAAAAUAAAAAUUGUACGACUUUGAUUUAUUCUAUUAAAGUUGAAUGAGUGCUAUUGCUAGUAUAUGAUUGUAAUUAUAUUAAUAGGGACCGGUAUUUUGGGAAAGAAAAAAAAUUUAAAACUCGUUCUUUUAUAAGUAGUAUAGAUAUAUAAACACGCACGCGCGCGCACACACAUAUAUAUAUAUACACAUAUAUAUAUAUAGACACACACAUAUAUGUACACACACACACACAUAUGUAUACACACACACACACACACACACACACAUAUAUAUAUAUAUAUAUAUACAUNNNNNNNNNNNNNNNNNNNNNNNNNNNNNNNNNNNNNNNNNNNNNNNNNNNNNNNNNNNNNNNNNNNNNNNNNNNNNNNNNNNNNNNNNNNNNNNNNNNNNNNNNNNNNNNNNNNNNNNNNNNNNNNNNNNNNNNNNNNNNNNNNNNNNNNNNNNNNNNNNNNNNNNNNNNNNNNNNNNNNNNNNNNNNNNNNNNNNNNNNNNNNNNNNNNNNNNNNNNNNNNNNNNNNNNNNNNNNNNNNNNNNNNNNNNNNNNNNNNNNNNNNNNNNNNNNNNNNNNNNNNNNNNNNNNNNNNNNNNNNNNNNNNNNNNNNNNNNNNNNNNNNNNNNNNNNNNNNNNNNNNNNNNNNNNNNNNNNNNNNNNNNNNNNNNNNNNNNNNNNNNNNNNNNNNNNNNNNNNNNNNNNNNNNNNNNNNNNNNNNNNNNNNNNNNNNNNNNNNNNNNNNNNNNNNNNNNNNNNNNNNNNNNNNNNNNNNNNNNNNNNNNNNNNNNNNNNNNNNNNNNNNNNNNNNNNNNNNNNNNNNNNNNNNNNNNNNNNNNNNNNNNNNNNNNNNNNNNNNNNNNNNNNNNNNNNNNNNNNNNNNNNNNNNNNNNNNNNNNNNNNNNNNNNNNNNNNNNNNNNNNNNNNNNNNNNNNNNNNNNNNNNNNNNNNNNNNNNNNNNNNNNNNNNNNNNNNNNNNNNNNNNNNNNNNNNNNNNNNNNNNNNNNNNNNNNNNNNNAGGUCGGCUCGUGUUCGGCUCGAGCUCGUGACGAGCUCGAAAACUCCGGCUCGUGAUCGGUUCGCAACUUAAUCGAGCUAGCUUGUGUUCGGCUCGUUAGCGCCGCUGUCGAAGUUCGCUGCUGCUGCCAAAGUUCACUGCCGGGGUUUUGCUGUCAUGGUGCGUGACCUGUCAUGGUGCAACCAUGACUGCGAGUGGAAAGAGUAGGAUUAGAAGUUGAGGAACAAGGUGAGACAUGAGAGGAUCCAAGGCGAGAGAAGCAGGGCGGCGACAUGAUCAUUGAAGAAUCAUUGAAGAAGAAACUGGUAUCGGGCAUUGGGUUCGCGCUCCCUCACUGUAGCGUCGCCAGAUCCGCCUCCGAAGGCCGCAGCGGCGCAAUCUGUGGGGAAAGGCCUGUUCGGGUACUGGGUUCGCACUCCCUCACUGUAGCGUCAAGACCCGGAUCCGCAUUCUGCAUCGGAGGCGGGUUGAAGCUACGUAUGGACCAGCCCAGGCGAAAAACCCAGUUCGAGACAGAAUAGAGCCCACGAUGGCCAAUAUAGUUAAAAUAUAAUUGCAUUCAUAUCUCUGCCCCAUGUAACUCUUACAAUUUGGUCCUAAUGAUUAGUAAAGUAUAAAUAGUAAACUUACACUGUAAUGAAGCAAACAGAAGAAUAAUUAAUAAUCCAUUUAGAAUGAGCUAUUUUUAAAGUUGGGCUAAAAUUUUAAAAUUAAUAAUCUGUAUUAUAUAUUUAUAUACAAAUAUAAUUAUAUAUAUAAUAUAUAAAAAUUAUAUUAAUAUAAAAUAAAUAUAAUCGAGCUGUUAUCGAGCCGAAUACGAGCGAGUUGAUCCUAACUCGUGUUCGGCUCGUUUACUAAAUGAGCGAGCCGAUCUCGAGCUCAUUUCGAGCCGAACACCAGCUGGCUCGCAAACAGCGAGCUGGAUUGCCGCGAGCUGGAUUGCCACCCCUACACACACAUAUAUAAACACACACACACACACAUAUAUAUACACACACACACAUAACCCUUCUUUUUAUACACAAAUGGCUCCAGUGUUUACUGCUUAUUGCUUAAUUGAAUGUGUCCAUUUUGUUAUGCACAAAGAAGACCCAAACAUAGAGCUAAAUAAUCUUAAUUAACUUAGGAACCAGGAAGUACAGAACCUCCAAUUUAUUCAAACUUUUAUGUAUGCUUAUAUGUGGAAUUGUGUGCUUGUAUGCUCUAUGUUUAUUUAAGCUUUUAUGUAUACUUAUAUGUGGAAUAGUGAACUUUAUGUAUCUUUUAUUUGUUUACUGUUUAGUCUUUAGAAUUUAGAUAUGCUAGUAUGCAGUUAUGCACUAUGCAAAGUGCCAAUUAUCUUGAUCUUUUAUUUGCUUAAUUAUUUUUUUAUUUUGAGGCAUAAUAUAGUUUACUAUUUUUUUUUACUUAAUUAGUUUAAUUUUGUAGCUCUUUAUUCUUAUAUUUUUAAAAAAUAUGAGUAUUUAUGCUAAUAGUAUAAAUCUUGAGAGGAAAAAAAACUUAAUUUUAUUGCCUCAAAAUAAAAAAAUAAUUAAGCAAAUAAGUUGCCAAUUUCAUCUUGUAUUUAGUUUUUAACUAUGUUUGUAUGUGAACCUUUUAUAUUUUAUAUUUAAAUAUGGACUAUCUUUGGCAACUUAUUUGCUUAAUUAUUUUUUUAUUUUGAGUCAUAAUAUAGUUUAUUAUUUUUUCUUACUUAAUUAGUUUAAUUUUGUAUCUCUUUAUUUUUAUAUUUUUAAAAAAUAUGAGUAUUUAUGCUAAUAGUAUAAAUCUUGAGAGGAAAAAAAUUUAAUUUAAUAACCGAAUUUUUAAUUCCAAAUUUUUAAUUGGUUAACGUAUAAUAUCCGUAUAAAUCACGUAUCUGAAUAAUUGACGAAUCCGUUUUUUAGCUUUUUUUUUAACGAAUUUAAAAAUUAGAAGACGAAUUUUAUCCGAAUUAUAUCCGUACCGAAUUUUUGCCGAAUCCGAAUUAACUAAUUAUGUUCAUAACUCUAUUCUCUCUCUCUGCCUCGUCUAGGGUUUUUGAGGCGCACUUCGUCUCUAUCCCCACCUUGAAGCUCCUGCCAUGGCGACGUCGCCAACCUCCUCCGCCGUCAACCUCGGCGGAAAGGGCUCCUCUCUCACCCCCGCCGCCGUGUACGCUGUCGCCGGUGGCCUAUCUAUCGUACGGAUCGACUCCUCCGCCCUCGAGAAGCUCGCUCAGUCCAAGAGCUCCUCCCCUCCUCCGCCACUCUCCGAUGCUAUCCAAAAUCCUAAAUUCUUAACCCCAGAGGAGUCCCGAGCCACCCUUGGUGUCCUCCUCAACAAGCUCCUCGUCGCCGACGCCUCCGUGCGUCCCCCACUACCCACCCUGAUCGAGGAGGUCCUGUCCCUCCCGUCGGGUCACGAAACACUAGAUUUCGGAUCCCCAUUGCAGUUCCUCGAGUCCAUAUGCCGGUUGAAUGGGAGAAAGGUGGAGGAGAUUAACGUUUCCGGAGAUGAAAUCGGGGUUUUCGAAGCCUCCGCCGCUGCUCCGACCGCGAUCUGCGCGAUCUUGGACUGCUGCUCCUCGGCACUGGUGAGGGUGUCGGACGCAGUGGCGGCGCUCUCCUGCGAGGCCUCUAGGGCUGACGUGGGGGCCUUUGAUUUGCCGGUCUCGGGAGACGGCUUCUCGAUCAAGGACGAGACGGAUGUAGCCGGAGACAUGAAGGUGAUGCUCUUUGGUUCGAAGCUCGUAGGGCAGAAUUAUGCCGACUCCUUCGCGGAGAUCCCCACCGUCCAUGGGAGCUUCAGGGAGGCUGUGAGAACACUCCAUGGGAGGAUCCGUGUCGAGCUGAACUCUUCCAUUAAGGUCAGGAAGAAGAGUACAGGUCUCAGUAGUCAAGGAAAGGAGAAAGCUUUGGUGGCCUCUGCGCUCCCUCUGGCUAUGGCAAUUCGGUCCAUGAGUGAGAUUAGUCUGGGGCGAGCCAAAUUGAUUGUUGAGUCGAUCCGAGAUGUUGGUAUCAAGUCUAUGGUUUCUGAAUUAUUUCGAGAUGGGUGUCGGGGCUUUGACAGAUUGAAGGACCAAUUCGAUUCAGUAACGCAAAAUGCUGCUGCUGGAGUAGAUUAUGUAUCGAUUUUGAGUGGUGUUUAUGAUCUUCUGGUUAAAUUUAGGAACAUUCUUGCUUGGGAGGCUGCAUUGGCUUUGUUCACAAUUGAGAUUGAUGAUUCGAUCGAGAAAAUCCAGGGGAGUUCUUCGACGAAUGCCAAGACAAAUGGAGAAACUGCGAAAGGUGACAAGAAGAGCGAGAAGAAAAAGAAGAAGACUUUAGGAAAAGGGACUUCUGCUGUAAUGCAACUUCUUAGAAGCCGAGUAAUGAAUGGAAAGGAGAUAACAAGUGAACAUGUCACAGCACUUGUUAAUUGGGCUCGUGACCUUUCCUUUUGUUUUGAUCCGAAGGACAAAGGGCUUGAUACAUUGAUAGAAAAAGUGAAAGAAAUUGUUGAGAGCAAUGAAGUCAGGAGACUUCCUAAAAUUCCCAAGGUGAGAAACAUGUACUAAAUUAAUGUGUGCCUACAGUCCUUAAGUGCUUAUAAUUUCUCAAAAUCACUUAUAGUUUGACAUGUUUGGUCAACUUCUCUUUUAGGGUACCCGUGAUUUUGGGAAAGAACAAAUGGCCAUAAGAGAACGUGCAUUUUCUAUUAUUACCAGUGUUUUCAAGAUGCACGGAGCAGUGGGCCUUGAUACUCCUGUAUUCGAGCUGAGAGAGACUCUCAUGGGGAAAUAUGGGGAAGAUUCGAAGUUGAUAUAUGACCUUGCUGAUCAGGUAAAGUUUUGAAGAAAGCUAACAACAUUUUGGUAUUUUUUGUUGAAUUGCUUUUGGUGUAACUCUUCUUUUACUGUGAAAAAGAGUCAUUUACUGCAUCAGGCUCCGACCAAUGUAUAUUUGGGCAAUCGUCGUCGCAUGUGUAUUUGUAGCAUUUAUACUUGUAAUGCCGCUCUACUUGACUUUAUGGCUUAAGGUCAUCAAAGAGUUAUUCCUAAUUUGGUAUUUGCAAUUUUUUUUCCCAUUCUGAAUAUCAAAUAUGCUAUUAAUUUGUUCAUCCUUAUGAAUCAGUAUUAACUGCCUCCUAAAGCGGCUUGUAUAUUUUGUUUUGGCAGGGUGGUGAACUUUGUUCUUUGAGAUAUGAUCUAACUGUUCCUUUUGCCCGAUACGUGGCCAUGAAUAACAUUAGCGCAUUGAAAAGGUACCAAAUAGCAAAAGUGUAUAGGAGGGAUAAUCCAUCAAAGGGAAGGUAUCGUGAAUUCUAUCAAUGUGACUUUGAUAUAGCUGGCCAGUAUGAGCCAAUGGAACCUGACUUUGAGGUCAUUAAAGUAUUAACAGAAUUGUUGGAUCAACUUGACAUUGGCACCUAUGAGGUACUUUUGGUUGUUUGUUUACUUGAUUUUCUUUUUAGUUUAAUAUUGGGUAUAUACUAUUAAACUCUUCUUGUCUGAGAAGAGGGUGGUGUUAAUGAUGUGUAGAACUACGAUUCACCGCAUAAUUGAAUAUUGUAUAGGUAAAAUGUAUAGGUAAAAUAUGUGCAUUGUCCCUGUGCUGUUGUGAUAUUGAUCUACUCCCUGAACUUUUCACCUAAAAACAAUUUAGUCUUUAAACUUUCUUGUAUACUGCAAUUCAUCCCUGGCCGUUGAAAAUAUCAGAAACCACAUGAUUAUCUUUUCCUGAAAAUUGACCUUCUAAUCUUGCUUCAAGUGCACUGAAACAUGAUCUUCAUUUGACUGAAGGGGAAAAUUGUUAUUACAGGUUUUCUUUUAUUAUUAUUAUUAUUAUUAUUAUUUUUUUCUACAAUCAGGGAUGCAAUUGCCAUAUAUUAGAAACUUCAGGCAUUAAAGUGUUCAAGUGCGAAGUUCUGGGACUAAGUUGCAGUAGCAGGAUAGUAUAAGGAUACAUUUUGAUGUUAGGUGAUUUGCUGAGCCUUGAAUGUCUAAAAUAUUGCACUUGGACUAUUUUUUAUCAUUUACAGAUAAAGCUAAAUCAUCGGAAGCUAUUGGAUGGAAUGUUGGAGAUUUGUGGUGUGCCUCCUGAAAAGUUUAGGACUGUUUGCUCGAGUAUAGAUAAGUUAGACAAGCAAACAUUUGAGCAGAUAAAGAAGGAACUGGUAAGAAAUUGCUUCAACUGUACAAUUAGUAAUAGAGAAAAGAAAAAAAGAAAUAGAUAUUGCAUUCUAUGUAGCUACUAAAUUAACUUGAUAUAUUCUCUUUGUUGAUUAUAUCUUCACUAGGUGGAAGAGAAAGGGUUAGCUAUUGAAACAACAGAGAAAAUUGGCACAUUUGUGGAAAAAAGAGGGCCACCGCUUGAAAUCCUUUCUGAAUUGACGAAAGAGGGUGGUCAGUUUAUGGAGAACAGUGGCUCUGUUGUUGCGUUGAAUGAGCUAGAUAUAUUGUUUAAAGCGCUUGAAAAGUCAAAAUGUCUAGACAAAGUGGUCUUUGACUUGAGUCUGGCUAGAGGCCUUGAUUACUAUACUGGAGUAAUAUACGAGGCAGUCUUCAAGGGUGCUACACAGGUGAGGCAUACUGUUUCUAAUUGCAUAUACAGAGACAUGAAUAUCUUUUUGUGCUUCAUGAUUGUUGCAGCAUAUAGUACCAAGGCAACUGUCCAUAGUGUUGAACCACCUAGAUUCAUAUUAUGUUUCUAUAGAGUAAAACUGAAAAGUUUUUCUAUUGUUCAUAAGUGCCUUUAAAAUCUUUGGAUUAUGGCUGCCUUAACAAUCUACCUUUUUUGGUGUUCUUCUAGGUAUCUGUAUUCUUUUUUUUUGCAUGAACGCACACAUAGAUCCAUAAAUGUUUAUGUCAUGAUGAUAUAUAAUCUUGCUAUGCUAUCUAAAUCCAGUGUGACUGUAUUGGACUUUAUGUUGAACAACUGAAAUGUUUGUACUAUGACGAUUUUGAGGUGGAGCUCUUGGUAUUUACAUAUUUUGUUACUUUACUGAUUUUUUAUAGAGUACUCACCUUUGCCACAAUGAGUUAUUUCUUGCAUAAAUCAUAAGCUUCAUUUACAGAUAACCAAACCCAUAAUUUCAAAUUCUCUCCUUUCAUUUUGAGUACUUCAAGGCAUGAGAUUUACUCCUUUCUUACUUAUUUUCAUUCCUUAGGUUGGUUCCAUUGCAGCAGGGGGCCGCUAUGAUAACCUGGUAGGAAUGUUCAGCGGAAAACAGCUCCCUGCAGUUGGUGUCAGCCUUGGAAUUGAAAGGGUCUUUACAAUUAUGGAACAGCUGGAAAAGGACAGGAACCAGGUAUUGUUCACCGUCUUUCCAAUUGGCACUUGUCCACUUUCUCAAAUGCAGUAAAAUCCUUCUGCUUGUCACUCUUAAGUUCAUUUCCAUUUUUAAAAUGGGUUGGUUAUUUCCACUCUUCUAUGCCAUUCCCUGGAAAGCUGUGCCUUCAUAGAUUAUACUUCAUUUCUCAAAAAACAAGUCUGCAGGAAGAUACGAUUGUUUGAUCCCAUGUUUCAACACGCUGUAAUUUCUUCCUCUUUUUCUAUUCAAGUCCUACCUUUACUACCAAAAAUAUAUGUCAUGGUUUCUCUCUACAAAUACAAUCAGAGUUAAGCGCCAAAAGUAAGAAGGUUUCAUCAUGCUCUCCUAUAUUUAGGUGGCUUAUAUCAUAUCGGAAACGAUGUGGUUUUUCAACAUGUGCUAUCUUUUUCAUUGUGCAUUAGAAUACUUUGGAAAUUGAUGAAUUAGUUCUGUUAACCAUAUCAUAGGUUAUUCGUGCAACUGAGACACAAGUUCUGGUGGCUAUUCUUGGAAAAGACCUUACUCUGGCUGCCGAGCUCGUGAGUGAGUUGUGGAAUGCCAAAAUAAAUGCCGAAUUCAAACUCACCAAGAGGGUGAUGAACCACAUUACCUAUGCCAAGCAGUCCGGCAUUCCUUGGAUGGUGCUGGUUGGUGAAUCCGAACUGGAAAAAGGCAUCGUCAAGUUGAAGAACAUCAAAGCAAACCAAGAAGAGGAGGUCCCCAGGAAAACCUUUGUUGAGGAGCUUCAAAGAAGGAUUAACAGUGCUUGAUAAAGCUACUAGACAACAAUAUAAGGGGGGACAAGUGCAUGUGUACAUAGCAUUUUUUUCGACCGAGUGGCCUCAACCAUUUUGAUCAUUUGGCAAUUUAAUUCAAACAGCCAAAAUAUAGAACAGCAGAAAAAAAAAGGGAAAGUUAUUCAAGUCUUGCGUGAUUGGAUCAAAUGAUAGAGAAUUGUGACAUAUUACCUUUUCAUGCUGGGGUAAAUGGUGCAGGGCUUCUCGAGGUAAAGCUGCUUGUUGCAUUCUGAGCUUAGAAAGCCCAUUUUAUUUCUCAAUCUCUUAACAUAUGUGGUUUUGGCUUUACUUUUUAUUUGUUCUUCAUCUUUCUUUCAUCUAUCGGUCAUAACUUAUUUACUGGAUAUUGCAUGUCUCGCUUCGGGUGAAAUAUAUGUAAAACUUUUUUGUUAGCAUAUAAUGAUAUAACCAGAGUUUCUUAUUGUUGGGUAACCCGAAAUGUAAUACAGUUAUUGCCAUGUGAGUUAAACAGAUGGCUUCUUUACUUGAUUCUCACUUGUUUGUCAGAUUUCAUUUGCUACAGCAAAUAGUUAUGUGCUGCUAAGUAUUAUUUCUGUUUCCUGAUUAGAUAUGUUAUUGAUUGGUAUUUCGAGAGUAGUGAAGAAAAGAGGAGGCAAGAUGCCAUUACUAAAGAGAAUUUCUAGAUAAGGUAUUCUUGUGAAAGCAGAGAUCUACGGUGGCUGAUAUUGCGUAAAGCAUUUCAAUUAAGAUGCGGUUUUUGUUCCAAAUUGACACUCGCAUGUGCACUGCAGCUGAGCUCAAAAUUGUGCAUAAUUUAAGAACAAACAUGCCCCCCCUCCGUUCAAGACCGUUCUGCUCGAGCUCGAGUUUGGUAAAGGAAUAAGCCGUGACUCAGAGAUCAUAGAAUUGGGCUGCAAACACAAGUUCAUCAUGAAAGCAGGAACAUCGUUCUACUCCCUUAAAUGGCCAGAAUUUCCACGGAAAAGAUGCUAUCAAACAAUACUUUGCUGAGAAUGAAGCUGCCAGAGAAGAACUACGGGUGAAGUUAAGAGAAAAAAUGAUGCAAAAUGAGUCGCAAAGAAUAAAGGAUCAGGAGAACUAUAUGAUUGACGGAAAUUUGGGAGCCGUUGUUUCAACGAAUGAUGAGGAAAACAUCACCGAGGUGGAGGCGUGAAGCAGCAGAGCAUCGAAUUCAGAUAUGCUACAUUAAAUCCAUAUAGCAUAUAUUUGGGAUGGUGAGCUCCGGCAUUAAUAUAAAAUAAAUCUUGCAUCUCAUCACGUAUAGCGCGAAAUUUUGGCUGGAGAUUAAUUGGCUGAAAUUGAGCACAGGAGAAAACAAGGUUGAGAUAAAUCUUCCAUCAUAUUGGAGUGUUUUUGUGGCUUAUAUUUGACUAUACUCAAGAUUGUGGUGAGGGGUGGUGUCAUUGAUAGUUUGUUUCACACCAUCAAGACAACAGAUCAAAUCAGGGUUAUGUGAGAGGCUUGUUAGAUUGAGAUAGUAACCGGAGACCGCCGGGCAAGUUACACUUAAAUGAGUUUUUUUACACUUUUUUGUAGUGCUAGGUACUUGUAAAAUAAAUUGUAAUCCAUAUGCGAUGGCUCCUGUUUAUCUUGUAACAGCUGCCUUGUUUGUGCAUACAGCCUUUCAUUUGAAAUUUUUUGUUUUUCUAGAUGUUUAUAGACCUCCUAUUAUGUUGGAGCUUGUGAUCUCCAGGAUGAAGUUACAGAAGCGAUACUGUUGGCAAAAUAAUUGAUAACUUUUGGAUUAAAAGAUUUAAAGAUAUUAGUAAUCUUACUUGUAUUGAGUAAUUCCAUAUGUUGUAACCAACAAAAGUUUCUACCCAAACUGAAAUUGAAAUCUCUUUAACAAGCCAUGAAUUUCGGAGAAAAUGACAAGUGCUCAAAAGCACCCAAAACGAAUGAAGGCCAAAGAAGUUCUUAGCACUGCAAAUGACAAAUUGUACAAAUUUCAAAUAGUUCCUGCAUUCUUAAAGAACAGAAACCAACAAAAAGAUGCAUAUGGUCUCUGCGAAGUACAGCUGCUAAAUUCUGGACCGUAAAUGUACUAACCACCAACAUCAAUAGAAUAAUUUGGUCGCCACUAAUUCCCGAGAAAGAAAAAUCUUCACACAAACAAAAAACAUCAAUACGACCGUACCCCACCAGACAAGUUAAACCUAGAACAGCCUGAGUGUGUCCUUUGAUAUUACGGUAGCUAAUACAAGAAAGUGUAGAACAGUCUCCUCCUUUGAACAAAACUGAUCUUUUUAAUCACACGCUUUUAUUCUGCAUGACACUAUCACGUAUCUGAAACCAUGCGAGCCCCGGCUGAGCGCACUGCUUCGAUUCUGGGAUUGAAACAAUGGGUCCCAGAAACAAGCGCCAUAAAUCGAGAAUAAUAGUAACAAGCAUAGCAGCACCUAGGGCAUCGACGGCUACUCUUGGUAAGUCCCAUGGUUCGCCAACCUUUUCAUCUAUCCUGGAUUUUGUUAAAGAAACAGAAAUAGUUAGAGAAAAGUGCAAAUUGGAAGAAAGUAAGCUUACUUUGAGAAUUGCACCAUACGAUAAAAGACACAGAUAGCAUAGCACUUACUGAAAGAAAAAAGUAAUAAAGUGAUCUAAAUCUAUCGAAAAUAAUUUUUUGCAACAGCUUUUCCAUAGACAAACCAUUAUUGAGUUAUAUCAUUAAGUAUAAUACAAAAUAAUGCUUGUCUUCAAGAAUACCAAAUUCUGCUGUAAUAUUCAAAAGUUUGUUGAAUUAGCCCCAAGAAAAUUUCCGAAAACCUCUUCAGAUGUACUCUUUAAAUUAUUUCCACACAUUAACUGAACAGGCUAGAAAAAUGGCCACACGAAGGAAAAUAAUUAUAUCACUUCAUAAGAGUCUUUCAAAAACUAAUUUUGCAGCAUAUUUAUGAUACAUAGAGACAAUAAGAGACAGCACAAUGAACUUAAUAGCACAUGGACUGGGAUACAGCCAUCAGAAAUCUGCAUAAAGUUAAGAAAUUUCAUGAUCAAAUAGUAAACUUCAGGUGAGAGUUUUACCUUAGAAACAUUGGAAAACUUACGAUGAAGUAUAUUGCAUAAAACAAUGAUCCUACUUUGUACAUUGAUGCCCGAUCAAUAAACUCGUAAUAUGGGAACUGCAACAAUACGCGAUAUUUAUAAUAAAAUCUCCAAAAUCAUGUGAAAGAAGCUGUUAUGUAUUUGGAAAGAGAUCAAGUAUUAGCACAGAGUAAUAGUACACGAGCAAUAUACGAACUCAACUAUUUAACUAAACCUAAAAGGGAUAGGGCUUGAUCUAUUCAUGAUUUCAACAGUUAAUAGAAACAAAACUGUAGAGACAAAUUGAGAAAAAAUUUUACAUGAACAUCAUAUGAUUUACCCUGAAAAUUCACCUGCUCAAGUUUGACUAUGUCUAAACCAAGGACUAAACUGCCGUGGCACGGAAUCGUGCCGGAAACUUGCCGGCACGGUGCGUGCCGAGUCGUGCCGAUACGUGCUAGUCAAAAAAAUUCUUGUGUGUCGACACAUAAUAACAUGAAAUAUUUAUUUUUUUUAGCAACAAAAUAUUCUAACUAUUUAUUAUGUUUUUUUUAUCACAUCUUUUGUACUUUAUUGAGAAAAUUACUUACUAAUUUAAAGAAUAGAGAGUUUUGAAUUGUGCCAUCGGCACGGGGUCUGUAUCGUGCCAAUAUCUUGUUGGCACGGUACGGCACGGUGGAUACGGCCCGUGCCUAAAACCUUGGUCUAAACCAAAUUGUUAGGAAUUGGGUGAAAAGUGGAUUGAAAUGAGAGAACCAAAAAAGAAAAAAAAAAAAGGAGUCUAGUUUAGAAAGGGUAAACGAAGCCUCAAGAACGAGGGAAUAGUCGAACAAAAUCUCUCUUAACCACAAUGAUGAAAGCUAUGUAGUGUUGGUUGCAUCGGCAUUUGCUUUUGCUUGGUGCCAGCCUCAGGAAACAUUAGUCGUACAUUAAGAAUUACUCUUGAAUGUAUGACACUUCCUCCAGUGGAGUUUUUAUUGUGAGAUCUGUAGAAAUAUUUCAGCCCAAGUUAUGUACGCUAUGUCCAAAAAAAUCUGCACGACCUGAUCGUUCCAACAAUUUGUCACAAAUGUAGAUAAACUUUGCAUAUAACUAUGAACAAGCAAUAAAAUUAAAUUGGAAACUCUUGAAUAAAUGGUAUAACUUGCAACAUACAUUUGCAAUAGCUAGAGUCUCCAAGUAUGCAAUGAAAUAUGAAAGGGCCAAAAUCCAAGCUGCUUCAGUGAAAAAUUGAAUAGACUGUGGUAAGCCAGCAAUGGAAUGGCACAAUCUACGUAGUGUCAUAUUUGAUGCGACAUGGUAAAAUAGGAAGCAAGCAUGAGUCAGAAGGAAUGUAGUAUGGGGAACCUGUCUUGCCAAAAGAACACAAAUGAGCAAGAUACUUAAGGCCAGUUAAAAGGAAAUAGAAAUAAUAUGAAUAGCUUAAUUCAAGAAAUUAAUACUAUAUCUGCAAGAUUAGCGAAAUCAAUAUGCAUUAAAAAAAAAAAAAGAAAGAUAAUGUCGUAGUCACCAGUAUCUCAAUAAAUGAUAUGAUUAGACUAGCCAGCAAACUUUGAACACUGAUAUUGCAUGCAAAUUAUAUACAUCUAACUGUUCUAAGUAAGAAGAUGGUAUAUUCAGUAAGGACCACAAAAUAUCACCAUAAUUUAGUAAAUCUGGUUAAUCAUAGAUAGGCAAUAUUUGACCUUUGUUUUGAUAUAAACAUCCUCAACGUGAUAAUAAUACAUGAACAACUAUAUUAAGAAUAGAUGCAUAUAAGCCAAGGUCCAACUCCAGAACUGUGCAACAAACUCAUAACCACACAAAUGUUUACCAUCUAUGUAUCCACACUGGUCUGCUCCAAAGUGUCAGAGGACAUACAUAGAUGUAUAAAUAAAGCUACAGAAAGAAAAAAAAAGAGAAUAUAAAAUAAAACUUUUGGUGCUUACAUUAUUCAUCCUCCAUGAUGGAAAAGUAUAUGACGCUCCAAGUACAGUGAAAAAAUAAUGAGUCCAAAAGUAGUUUCCCACAUAACUGAAAAUUAUAAUCCAGAGAUUUGCCUGCAGAAAGUAAGCGACAAACAAUCAUGCAUGGAACAGAAGAAGUUAUUUGCUAACAGUUAAGUUAAGAAAUUUUUUCUGUAAAAAAAAUACAAAAGCUAUCUAUUAUUAAGAUUCCUCCAAUCCCUGUUUCUCACGUAUUUGAACAAAUAUACCUAUUAGAUCAAAAACUCCAGAAUGGCAAUUUAAAUUUAUUUUGUUGCUUCUACGCUUAGAGCAUCUUCUUUGCCUCCUCUUCUCCUCAUCCCCAAAUUCAAGUCUAACCCAAAACCAUAGAGCUGAAAUCAUUUGCCAGUACUGACCAUUGCUGUUUCAACAUAUUGAUGGUCAGGCAACAGCAGAUUAAGGGGAGCAAGGAGGGCAAAUGAAAUUCCGGAAACUUUGUAAACUUCUCUUACAUAGAAGAGGAAAGAAGUGGUUAUUAUCUAUGGGUAUGGUUUUCAACAUCAAUUAUGGCUAUAAACCAGUGAGCAUACAAUACAUCAUACAUGCUUAUUGAUCUAGGAAAGACAGCAGACAAAAAAAAAGGAAAAGGUAUAUCAGGAUAAAGUUUACCUUCACCCAGUAGCGAUCCUUCAAACUUUUGCCACUAUCAGCCUGCAAUAAAGACAAACAACCACAAUUCAGCACAACAUUUACCUAAGAAGGCCUUCCACAUAUGAAUGUGGGGGUUCACCAUUAAAGCAUUCAGAAUUCUAAGCUAACACUAGAAAUUUUUAGGGGUCCUAACAAUUUUUCAGCCCACUGAGCUCUGCUUGCUGAUUUGACUAACAAGAACUGUUUACUUGUAGUUAAUGAAAAUCUUCUGAUCCCUAAGUGGAGAGCAAAAACAAAGCAACUCCAGCCUUCUCUGUGGCCGAUAGCAUAGGUCGAGUAGUGCUUAGACAUUACCUUUCCCACAAGAAACAGUGGUAUCAGUAUAGCUGGAACAGCUGACACCAAUCCCAGAAUAAAGUAUUCCAACUCGGUGAAUCUCUGCAAUUAGGAUAAAUCUUAAUUUUAUUCAUCUCCAAUUUAGUAGAAGUAUAUAGAAGACGACUUAAAUUUGCGAUCCAAAAGCAAGCUAAAGACACUUAUACAUAGUUAUUGAUACAUCUGGAUGAGAUUUUGUUAGUACACUGAAAACAAGCAUAAAUCCAAGAAAUCAUAAUUGAUUCCUGCUCGGAAUCUACAGCUUAUUAUCAAUAUCGAAUUGGACAACGACAUUGGACACCUAAAAGGAACAGUUUUUUCCUUCAUAUACCAAAAUUAGCCAUUUUCCCAGCAACGCAACUAGAUUAAUCAACUAAUAAGAAGCAGAUAUUAUCAAAAUCAAAUAUUAGUAAAUGAGAUCGAUAAAAUCGCAACCUCUUUGUGAUUCGAACACCAAAUAGUACCACUCUUUUCCAUCCAAACACCAAAUCCACCCAUUUUCCCCGCAAAACAACCAAAUCAAUCAACUAAAUGGAACUAAAAAAAAUCGGAUCGGAGACCUCGUAGAGCUUGUAGGGGACGACGAUCCCGAGGCACAGGACGAGCCAAAAGGGGGUGUAGAUCAAGAAGAACGCCUCCCCCCACCUCUUGCUCGGAUUCGAAGCCAACCACAGGCUCUGCGACGCGCCGCUGCUCCGCCCCACCUUUCCUCGCACUCCGCGAACUGAGCCUACGAAAAAAUCGAGGAGAGAGAGCGUCGGAGAAGAACCCUAGGAGGCGAUCGCCGAUCGCCAUUAACGGGCCUCGGCGGGAGCGAAAGAGAGCGAGAGAGCUUCGAACUACGAGGACACGUGGCGUGUUUUUACCUGCCAUUGUGCUAUCGGGAUCUCCGACCACCCCGCGAAGCGGAUCUUGGCGCGAUCCUUACCCGCGUCUCCGCCGCCCGGAACCGCCGCCGACGCCGCCGCCCCCUGCAGUUGCCACUCGUCAAAAAUGAUCGAGGUAUUCGCCACCGCCACAGUUGCUGCAUCUACGGGUGAAAUGUAGAACAGUCCCUGUACGUUCCCUAUAUUUGAAAUUGGUUCCCGUUGAUCUCAUUUAAAUAAUUUUCUCUCCCAGUAAAGUAAUAACUAAAACAGAUGAUAAGUAACUACAUUGUCGUAACUUAUUAUUUGUUUAAUUCAAUCAGGAUUAAAUUUCUUUUAAUAUUCAAGGAGGAAAGUGUGUAAAUUAUUAUCAUUAUAAGGAUUAAAUUGUCAUAUAUCGAGAUUGUACAGGGACUAUGCCACAUGUUUUCACUGCCAGGGUUCUUCUCACUCUCGUUGACUAGCUGUGGAGACAAUGUUCCGGUGUGAUGCCACUUCCCCCGAAAGGAUAAUAUUGUCCAAUAGAAGAACGACACGUCUUAUCUUACACUGGACGCGUAGUUCGCGAAAUUAAAGCCACUAUACCUACUGCUGUAUGCUGUUACCGCAUGCUAGAGAAUUCCUUGUCUACCACGUCAUCCCUGGACCGUUCAGUGUGUGUAUGUAUAUAUGUGUGUGUAUAUAUAUAUAUAUAUAUAUAUAUAUAUAUAUAUAUAUCUGUGUGUGUGUGUGUGUGUUGAGCCCUGCUUAUUUGGUCGGGUUCGGGCACGCCAACAAACUACCGAACGGAUAGAGUCUCCUAUGUACGUUCUAGGCGUUGCAACCUGAACAAUGUAUGAGGUUCCAACCAGAAACACAUUUCAAGUAUAGAUUGCAUAAGAAAGUAUCAAAAACAUAAACAACUAAGUUAUUACAACAUUCAUCUUUAAACGCAUUUUACAACUCCAUUACAUUUUGCAACCUCCAAAUACAAUCUGAGUUACUAUAAUUUAUUACAUGUUCGAUACAUCUUGUUCUUUAAUAAAAACCCCUAAGUUAAGCUGACUCAGGGUGCUGCUACCUCGGUCUCUGGGGUAGGGCGCUAUCUACGGAGGUACGCCAUUUCCUCGCGCCGCCGCGCCGCUCACGUGUGAACCUGUAAAACCCCAAAGCAACGUGGGGUGAGAACUAACUCCAUAGUUCCCAAUGGGUAUGGCCACCCAAGGGAAAAGCUUGACCAAUAGGUCUAAUGAUGCACUGCAACAGGUUAGUCUAAUAAAUAUACAACAGAUAUAUAUUCAGGUAUUGAAAAAUAUGUUGUGCCUCACAAUAUGCAAUAUGAAAAUCAUGCAACUAACCAAGUAGAUUAACUAACUCUACUCUUUAUUCUUAGUCAUUCUUUACUCUUGACUAUUCUUUACUCUUAGCUAUUCUUUUCUCUUAACUAUUCUUUUCUCUUAGCUAUUCUUUAUUUUUUAUUUUUUGCUCUUUAUUCUUUAUUCGUAGUUGUAACUUACUCAUUGGCCACUCUUUUCUAAGGUUACUCUUACCUUAGUCCUCUAUGCCACCCGACUUGGUCUUGAGUCAAUCAACUGCGGAUAAUCCGCGCUCUGUCCGGCUCAAGGUGAAGGAACUCUCACAAGGAACUCAGCCUUCCACAGCCCACCGCACCUCCUGUCCUAGCUGUCUGGCGGCGAACGCAUCGCACCUCACCUAACAACGGCUUAGGUCAUGAUUUAGCAACCCGGCGGCGAAAUCGUCGCACACGCCUCGUCGAUGGUUCAGUCAACAGGCGGUAUGAUCCACAAACCGGCUUAACCAUCCGACGGCGAAAUCGUCGCACACGCUAUGUCAAUGGUUUAGCCCCGGGCGGCGAAAUCGUCGCACACACCCAACAUCACUCUCAGUGUUCCAAGUUUUGGGAUUUCGGAAUCUAUUUCCACAUAGCUCAAGGGUUGGUCUUAAACCUUAUAGUGUCGACCUAUCUAGGUCCAUGGUCCUUUCCAUCUUAGGUUCAAUCGACUCUAGGUUCAAUAUCUUUAUCACACAAUUUAGGUUUACUUGACUCUAGGUUCAACUCUCAACCUAUGUUCUUUAACACUAGGUUUCAUGCUACUUAUCAUCUCAACCUAUGUUUACUAACACUAGGUUCAAUGUCAUUCAUGUCCAACCUAUGUUCAUUAACACUAGGUUCAAUGUCAUCUAUGUCCGACCUAUAUUUACUAACACUAGGUUCGAUGCCACUCGAUCUAAUAUACAUAUGUCCACAUGCACAUUUCAAUUAACAUAAUCCUCUAUAUGUUAACUUGCAUCCAUCUAGCAUUAGCAUUAUGUCAUUAUGCAUUACCACUAGCAUGUUCUCUACUUUAUGUUAACAUGCAAAUGCCAUUUACCUUAUGCUUUUAACUAGCAUCGUUCAUAUUACAUCAUCAUGCAUCCUUUGAUAGCUUGCUUAGCAUUCACUUCAUGCAUUCAUACAUUUUACCACUAGCUAUCAUUAUAUGCAUCAAUAUGAAACCAUUACUCUUACACAUAGAGGCGACCUAGUCGCUUCGGUAAGCACAACCCACCUCAAUUCGCACUUCGAUUGCUUGUCGUCACUUGCAAUCGGCCUCCCGCAGCACCCGUUGCCUGGUUCGGCCCGUACUCACACUGGACCACCAACCGGCCACCAAUCCAAAAUCCGGAAGUUGUUCGAUCAAUAACUUGAUGCCACGAUCCUCCGGAUCCGUUCUCGUGAUUUUUGGACUCCUAUUUCAGGAGUUCCGUCGAUCUGUACCAAAUUAGAGCCAAAUUAGGCUUUUUACCAAGAACCAUUACCUAGUCUUUUCGUUUCUUCGAACCGAGCGCACCAACGCGUCGAAAAUACCCCAAAUUAGAUUUCCAAGAGGUCAAUUUACCUCGAAAACACCCGGAGACAAAAGCUCUAUUUUUGGUGCUCUGACAAAGCCAUAAUCCCAAUCUUUGGUUUUGAUCUUUAGAACAAACAAAAGAGAGCUUGUUUAACAUCUAAGAACUCAUUUAGAACCAUUCGAACGAUUCCUAGGGCGUUUAGAAUAAACUCUAGAAAUCUACCAUUAGAGCACCUUGAAGAACACAUGGUUUUCAUGUGUUUCCAAGUCUCUACAAGGUUCUAAAGCUUGCAAGAAUAUCAAAACUCUAGAUCUUAGGGUAGAAAUCUAAACCCUAGAUGUAUUCUUCCAAAACAGCUCACCUUAGCCUAAGUUCUUCCAAGACCACCAUGAAGGAGAGCUUCUUGAUCUUUCAAAACCCUCAAAAUGCCAUCUCCAAGCCUUCUUCUCCUUCUCCUUUGCCUUGGUACAAAACUUCUAGAGAGAGAGAGAGGGAGAGAAAAUGGGAGAGGAGAGGGCUGCUGUGAAGGAGGAGAGGUUUGGUUGCAUAUAUAGUGUGCAACAUUUGCAAAUAAGCCUCCCAAAAUUUCAUAAUUGCAGCAGACCUAAUUUUGCUGUCGGGUACACUGUGUACCGGUACACUUUGCUUGUGUUACCGGUUACACGAUCUCGCAGAGGCAAACCUGAGUGCAAUUUCUCGGUUUCGUGGCAUUUUGUACCGGUACACUUUGAUUUGUACCGGUACACUUUCAGCCAACCUCAACCCGAGAGCAGCUCCUCUCGGUCCGCGUAUCUGUACCGGUACAGAUACACCCUUGUACUGUACACUUGCUCCAGACUUGAUUUUGACUUCGACUCGACUCUAUUUCGCGCUGGUUGCUAAAACCUUUCUAACUCCUUCGGAACUCAUUUUUAACCCUUCCAAUACUGUUGGAAUGUUAAACAGGUUUUGUCCAACUAUUUCUUUCGCGUACUUUAGUCAAUUUGGCUAAGGUCCAAAUGUAGCUACCGGGGUUUCGGUAUGUUACAAUAUGUGUGUGUGCAUAUAUGUGCGUGUAUAUAUAUGUGAGUGUGUGUAUAUAUGUGUGUGUGUGUAUAUAUAUAUAUACAUAUAUAUAUAAAGUAGGGCUACUGUGCUAUUAGGAGCACAGCAGCCCUUGUGUCCCUAAGUUCUUAACCACCCAUCAAAUUUGAUGGGUGGUUAGGGUGAAAGAAAGAAGAGAAAUUAGAGAGAAAUUCAAAGAGAAAAUUAAUUUCUCUUCAAUUUCUCUUCUCUCUUUUACCCUAACCACCCAUCAAAUUUGAUGGGUGAUUAAGAACUUGCACAAGGGCUGCUGUGCUCCUAAGGCUUGUGGAUGCUUUCAAAGAAAUGCAAAUUGCUGAAGAGGCCUUACCAGCUGAAAAUGGUGAUUUGGUUCAUGAGGUACUCAGGGUUGUUUUAUGUAUUCUUUGUUGAAGUUUAAUGCUAGAGCUAUUUUGAUCCUCUUUGCACAAUGCACAACUUUUCUUGGAAGGUGCUACAAAUACGUAAUAAAUCAUAUGUUUGCAGGUGAUGAAAGAGAAAGGCGAUGAGGAAUAUCAGGAAAAAGCCAUUGAAGUUGACGCUGAUGGUUCCGCAGAUGGCAUUAUCACUGUAAACGGGAAUGAGGAUGAGGAAUGAAGUUUUUGUUUGUUCCUAUUACGAUUAAUAAUUCACUGUGAAUAAAAAAGUGAUGAAGUUUUUGUUUGUUCCUAUUAUUCCCUGCUUAUACAAUAGUAGAGAAUUUUUUAUUUCUUAAUUGGGAUUAGCAUUGUUGAUUGAAGUUUAUUAAUGUUGAAACAUUUUAAUAUUUUUGUUCAUUAUUGCAAAGUUUUCGUAUUGGCGUGUUUAUUUGGUAUUNGAAUAAAAAAGUGAUGAAGUUUUUGUUUGUUCCUAUUAUUCCCUGCUUAUACAAUAGUAGAGAAUUUUUUAUUUCUUAAUUGGGAUUAGCAUUGUUGAUUGAAGUUUAUUAAUGUUGAAACAUUUUAAUAUUUUUGUUCAUUAUUGCAAAGUUUUCGUAUUGGCGUGUUUAUUUGGUAUUUCAUAAUUUACCGAUGUUUUGGAGUGUCGGUGUUUGUUUAAAUUAACGACUCUUUUUAGAGUCGGUAAUAUAUUAGAAUUUUAUAAUUUAUCGAUACUUUGAAGUGUCGGUAAUUAUUUAAUUUAACGACUCUUUUUAGAGUCGGUAAUAUAUUGGUAUUUCAUAAUUUACCGAUGCUUUGGAGUGUCGGCAAUUGUUUAAAUUAACGACUCUUUUUAGAGUCGGCACCUAACAUAUUACCGACUCUAAAAAGAGUCGGAAAAAAGUUUCCCGACGCUAUGUUAAAGCGUCGGUAUAUAUAUCCCGACAUGUUUAUUUAACGACUCUUUGUCCGACGCUUUUACAAGCGUCAGUGUUAUUUUUCCUGACGCUUUAAAGCGUCGCUAAUUAUUAUUUAAAGCGUCCUUAAAUGUAAGAUUUGUUGUAGUGACAUGCUACCUAUCUCUCAAAAAAAAAUAAAAUAAACCAAAGCGAUUUGCACAAUAUGCUACAUUUGUGAAAAUAACUGGAACAUUUUUUAUUUUACUUUUUUUAUCGUGUGUAAUGUCAAAUUACUUGCAGUUCCAAAUGGAGCCCCUUCAAAUAGAACUUUAUUGACCGAGAGGCUGUUUGCUCAACUUCUUGCCCCACAACCAGCUGAACUCAAAAGACUAAUCUUCGUACACUUGUGAAUGAGAAAUUAGGUGUUCUCGCAAAUUUGAUGCCCACUACAAACAGCGAGCUUCUCGAGGUCGUGAGUUUGACUUUCAACUUCCAAGCAAACAAGUAUAUUAUAAAUUUUUAUAGUAGUAUGCCUUAUUCUUGUUGGAUUAUGUGAAGUCACGUUUCAAGACAAUACAAAAGGAAAAAGUGGAACAUUUUGAGGUUUCUCGAUGUUAAGUACUGAAACUAAUAUUUGAGCAUUGAAACUCCAAGGAGUACUAAUACUUAGGAUGAAGUUAAUUAGAACCUAAGGCUAUGUUUGGUCAGGACGAUAUCCCAGGAUAAUAGGGGAAAUCCUCUUUUAUUCUGCCAAACAGCAUUACAAAUGUUUAGAACUGAUUGUUCCGGAUUUAACGGGUUAUACGGGAAUAGCCUGUUCAGCCUUGUUCUCACGCAUCUGUGGAACAAGAGGGAACAAUAAAAAUUACCCAUUUCACUUCCUUAGAUGCCCAUCUUUCUCUCUCAUCGAACAAAUUGGGAAAUAAAUAAAAAAGCUUUCCAGUAGAUUUUUUUAAGGUGGUUUUUAAUUUUUUAAAAAAUUAUAUUUAAAAUUAUAUAAUUAUAUAUAAUAUUUUAAUUAUUUGUCAUAUUAUAAAAUUAAAACUAUAUUUUCAUAUUUAAAUUUACAAUUACAUCUUUAUAUAUUAAUUUUAUUAGAUAAAUAGAUAUGUAAAUAAAUAUAUUAAUAUAAAUAUUAUCUUUAUGAUAAUAUAUUUAUACUUAAAUUUAUUAUACAAUAUAAAUUGUUAAUUUGAUGUGUUAUUUAUUUUAUUAAGUUUUAUCCUUUAUAUAUUAAUAUUUAAUUAUUUUAUUUUAUAUUAAGUAUUAUAUAUAUAAAUUAUUUUUUCAUAUAUUAUAUAUGUAUUUUAAUUUGUAUUGAAAUUUAUACUAUUAUUAAUAAAAAUUAUAAGGAUAUUGUUAGUAUUAUACUUUAUUCAUUACAUAUAUUAUGAAUAAAUUAUAUAAAUUAAAUUAUUACAUAAAAUAAAUUAUUAUAUAUAAUAAAAUAAAUAUACUAUUUUAAAUUAAAUUGUUGUAUAAAAUAUUAUAUUAUAAAUUACUAUAUAAAAUAAUUUUAUAAAUAAUUUAAUAUAAAUUAAUUAUUUCAUUUUUAAAUAUAUAUUUAGACAUUGUUUUAGACUUUUCAUCCAAAUGCUACUAAGGAUAUGCUCUAGAAUAUCCCCGAACGCAUCCAAACACAAAUUUACAAUUGUUUUAUUUUGUACCGGAAUAUUUUUUAUUAUGGGGAACAACAAAAGUUGUUCUCCAAAAUUUAGUUCUCCAAUCAAAUGCAUCGUAGUGCACUUUGGUUCGGGUAUAAGCAAGACCUAGCUAUUACAGGGAUAGGUACAAGUAUGAGGAUAAGAAAAAUAGCGUUUGGAUGAAAUUUGGGUUGUUCCCGAUGAUAAAAAAAAUAGCGUUUGGAUAGAUAAUAUGGAAUAAGAAAAAUAGUGGAUAGUUAUAUAUAGAAAAUAGAGGUAUUGAUGGGGAUAGUUAUAUCAGCUUAUUUCAGAUACCCGAGAACUAUUAGCGGGUAAAUACUUAGCGUUUGGGUUUAAAGGGGGAUAAGGGGUUAUUUCA